rfam:Colletotrichum gloeosporioides Cg-14 contig05167, whole genome shotgun sequence.
UCCCAUUUAGUGUAGUGGUUAGCAUACCUCGCUUUCAUUCUAUGUGAAUCACCGAGGAGACACGAGUUCGAACCUCGUAGUGGGAA